AUUAAUCGCAUCAUGUCGCAUAAUAUUCUGAUUUAUGAUAAUAUAUGAGAUUGAAAUUCGAAAUACCAUAAUAUGCUCGCAAUCAAUUCUAACUCGAAAGAAGAAUUUGAUACGAGUAUUACAAGACUAUAUUUCUCAAGUUCGAUUGGCAGAAAAGAGUAAUACCAGAAUCUUGGGUAUCCGUUAUCGGUUUUGAGAGCCGUGUGUCAAUAACUGGUCCCGUUUCGAGUUCGAAACGAGCAAACUUUACCAUAAAUUCCAUUAAUUGUUAGCAGCAACUUUCUAUCUUUUCGAACGAUCGAUCGCCUUUAUUUCCUCUACCUCGAAUUGCUUGCGAAUUACUUUUCUCGAAUUAAAGAAGAAUUUACGAAAUAAAAAAGAAAAAAAACUCACAGAGAAUGAAUUCUUUUUGAAUCGUUGAUUUCAUAUGCAUACGAUACAAUUUUUAUUUAUUUUGUAUAUUUAUUUUUACUGGAAUCUAAGGAAAUUUGCCAAAGAAUAAGCUUUCGAAUAAUUUCAAAUAAUUUAAAAAAAAA